CUUGGUUCAUCCCAUCUGACUGUAUAGAUUCAUGGAUGUUAAGAAGUGUAGUAGGUUGCUAACCACUUUUCCUUGGAUUGUAAGGCUUCAUUCUUCUCCCUCAGACCGAUGUACUCCAUUGAACCCCAGUACACCAGAUUUCUCAAAGGAAGGAUUGAUGAAAAUACUACCUGCACUCCAGAGUCGCUUGCUGCUGCUCCCAGGAAUGAGUUUUGCACCAAACCAAAAAACUCCCAAACUUUUCAUGUCUUAGAUAAUGGGUAUAUGUUGUCCGGAGUAAAGACAUUUUGUUGGACUUCAUACAGCAGUAACAGAAUGAAGACUAAUGGAUUGAGAUAUAUGGUAAGUCAAGUUAGAUGCAACAUCUUUCUGACCUUGAACGGUAAUGAUGAGAAAGAAGAAAGACAUUGCUUAAUGUCUA
ensembl:lncRNA